rnacentral:rRNA from 1 species
GGACUACUAGGGUUUCUAAUCCCGUUCGCUCCCCUGGCUUUCGCGCCUCAGCGUCAGUGAAGGUCCAGCGUGCCGCCUUCGCCACCGGAGUUCCUGUGGAUAUCAACGCAUUUCACCGCUCCACCCACAGUUCCGCACGCCCCUACCCCCCUCGAGGCCGCCAGUAUCCGAGGCCCUUCCCCGGUUGAGCCGGAGGAUUUCACCCCAGACUUGGCAGCCCGCCUACGCGCCCUUUAAGCCCAGUGAUUCCGAACAACGUUCGCUCGGUUCGUCUUACCGCGGCUGCUGGCAC